rnacentral:rRNA from 1 species
UACGAAGGGGGCUAGCGUUGUUCGGAAUUACUGGGCGUAAAGCGUGCGCAGGCGGCUUCUCAAGUCAGGGGUGAAAGCCCAGAGCUCAACUCUGGAAUUGCCUUUGAGACUGAGUGGCUUGAGUACGGGAGAGGUGAGUGGAAUUCCCAGUGUAGAGGUGAAAUUCGUAGAUAUUAGGAAGAACACCAGUGGCGAAGGCGGCUCACUGGCCCGGUACUGACGCUGAGGUGCGAAAGCGUGGGGAGCAAACAGG